rnacentral:lncRNA from 1 species
GGAGGGAGAUAUAUUUUGUCAUGAGAGUAGAGGUUUUUUUUUUAUUAUUUAUUAUUAUUAUGAGAAUAUGGGAGUAGAGUUGGGCCAAAUAAGUAUAUAAGUUGAUCAUAAUUAAUUAUCUUCAACACUUUCUUGUGAGGUCUAUGAUCCAUAUAGAUGAUUAUUUUCUUGUGAAAUCUAUUUCCGGUAGCUAUAGCUCAGCUCCCGGUAUUCUGUUGCUGUUCAUUAAUGUCACAAAAGAAAGUCACAUUAAUAUUUGCAUGAUGAAGAUUUUAAUACAACUUUUUAUUAAAUCGAUG